ACCUGGAUUUUGGUUUGAGCAUUUGUGGGUCAUCUCCGGGCCUUAAUUCCUGUUUGCAGGUUUGAUGCACACCCCACCUUUUAUAAGAAAUCUUUUGAAAGAGUCAAAGGAGCAUGAAUCCAGAUGUUCGAUACUAAAUUGCUUGUUACGCAAUUUUUUUUUUAUGAAAUAAGGUUGAAGUAUGCUGUCCUUACUGCUGUUACCGGAGCGAGCCGCGCGGCCCGCGACGUUUGAGGCCCUGCAGACGCCCGGUCAGUCGCGAUCUCGGACUCACCAUGUCGAAUGUGAAGUAGGACCCUUAUGGUCACAAUUUAAACCCGAGACGUCUCCUCUGACCCCACCGUGUCAGCACGGCAGAGCCAACAAGAUAGCGGGUCGCCACGCGCCAAUUUCGAGCCCGCUCAGAAAAUCGGUAUGCGCAUCGGGUAGACGUUAUCGCACAGAGCCCAAACUUUGCACAGGAUCUCUACUAGGUCCAAUCUUUCAUUUGAGGUGCCGACCUCCAAAAUCGGUGACUUCGAACACUAAAUCGAUGGGUCCUAAGAACAAAGUACGAUCUCGCCGCGACAGUUCAACAAAGUCUGAUCUCGCCGCGACAGUUCAACAAAGUCUGAUCUCGCCGCGACAGUUCAACAAAGUCCGAUCUCGCAGCGACCGUUCAACAAAGCCCGAUCUCGCCGCGACCGUUCAACAGAGUUCGAUCUCAUAACCGGCGCGUUCCGAGU